GAUUUCUGGUUUAAUGCACCUGGCCCGCCAUCGCGCGUUUACCAUCCUUCUAGAAAACGAUUCUGCCAUUCACUUGGUUGGGACCGCGAUCUAGAUCUUUUACUUUGAAAAAAUUAGAGUGUUUAAAGCAGGCUUUUGCUAGCAUGGAAUAAUAAUCUAGGACUUCGGUUCUAUUUUGUUGGUUUAUAACUGAAGUAAUGAUUGAUAGGGAUAGUUGGGGGUGCUCAGAGGUGAAAUUCUUGGAUUCGGUCAAGAGCGAAAGCAUU
rnacentral:rRNA from 1 species